rnacentral:tRNA from 1 species
GAGAGUAUAGCUCAGGAGUAGAGCACAUGUUUAGCAUGCUUCAGGUUCUGGGUUCAAUCCCCAGUACCUCCA